UUCUGCCCCUAGCGCGCCCCAGCCGCCCCCUAAGCAGGGGGCGAAGGAAAGGGCGCGCGGGGCCCUGGGGACUAACGGAUGCUCCCCUUAGAUAGCUUCCAGCCCCCUGAGCCCUCUCCCUCAAGGGAAGGGCACACUCACGGACCCUCCGGAGCCUCCAAAACAGAACUCACUGGAACUGCAUCUUUCUUCUCUGCCCCCCUCGCCCUCUCCCUCCUGCAGGCCUGGAACAGUGCCUGAUCAGAGGAGUGUUCAAUCUUACAGAACAGGUGUAUGAAGAAUCUGGGGCUCCUGUGGUGGCUCAGACAGUAGAGAAUCUGCCUGCAAUGCAAGAGAUUCAGCAAAUCACAGUUAACAAUCUCGGAAGCGUCAGUAGAAGAGCACUUUCAGGAAACCACAGCUAAUCAUCCAGCCCUCCUUGCAAAGAAGCAGACCCAGUAAUCUUUAACUCUCCAGAGUUUAUUUCAAAGCAAACAGCUUGGGACUUUCCUGGUGGUUCAGUGGAUUAGAAUCUGCCUGCCAAUGCAGGGGACACAGG